rnacentral:rRNA from 1 species
UGCUGCACCCUUGUCUUUUGCGUACCGUAUGUUUCCUCGGCGGGCUUGCCUGCCGGUUGGACAUUAUCAAACCUUUUUGUAGUUGCAAUCAGCGUCAGAAAACAAACAAUAAUUACAACUUUCAACAACGGAUCUCUUGGUUCUGGCAUCGAUGAAGAACGCAGCGAAAUGCGAAAAGUAGUGUGAAUUGCAGAAUUCAGUGAAUCAUCGAAUCUUUGAACGCACAUUGCGCCCCUUGGUAUUCCAUGGGGCAUGCCUGUUCGAGCGUCAUUUUGUACCCUCAAGCACUGCUUGGUGUUGGGCGUUUGUCCUGCAAAGGACUCGCCUGAAAGCGAUUGGCGGCCAACGUACUGGUGGUAGAGCGCAGCACAAUUUGCGUCUCUCCCUUCUACGUCGGCGUCCAUGAAGCCUUUUUUCAACGUUUGACCUCGGAUCAGGUAGGGAUACCCGC